GUGACCUCAAAUCAGGUAGGACUACCCGCUGAACUUAAGCAUAUCAAUAAGCGGAGGAAAAGAAACUAACAAGGAUUCCCCUAGUAACUGCGAGUGAAGCGGGAAAAGCUCAAAUUUAAAAUCUGACAGUCUUUGGCUGUCCGAGUUGUAAUCUAAAGAAGUGUUAUCCGCGCUGGACCG
rnacentral:rRNA from 1 species